CUAGCAGUUCAGUUGCCAUGGAGUCCCAAGGCUGUAGGAGGGGCCUCAACCAUCUAAUUUUCAAUGAAGGAGUAGAUAUAGACCUCAUCACUACAGACCGGGCCACAUCAGUUCGGAAAAUAAUGAGGGAGGAAUUCCAGAAUGUUCACCAUGAAUUUGAUCCUUGGCAUGAAUCAAACGGCAUAAAGAAAAAACUGGUAGCACUCGCCAACAAAAAGGAAAAUCGGGUCCUGCAGGGCUGGAUUCGGGCGAUCCUCAAUCACUUUUGGUUCUCAUGCUCAUCUUGUGGCGAGAGUGCUGAGGAACUGAAGUGACGGUGGACCUCAGUCCUCCACCACAUCUGUGGGGAGCACACAUGGGAGCAAGAUGGAAGAAAGUGGGCAUGCCCUCACCCUGCUCUAAACCCAGAUCAGCAAAGGACAAAGCGAUGGCUCCAGCCAGAGUCUCAAGUGUUCAAGUCUUUACGGAAUAUUGUUGAAGAUAAAAGACUUCUGAAAGACCUUGAGCAGAUGACUCGCUUCAAACAUACAGGAUCUUUGGAGGUGUACCACAACGUUAUGCUAAAAUAUCUGCCUAAACGACUGCAUUUUCGGUACGACACCAUGGUAGCCCGAACACAACUAGCCAUCCUGGACAACAAUUACAAUGUCGGCCGACAGCAGACAGAGACUUCUGAAGGACUUCCAAGAUACAGUAUGGUGUUCCCAAAACAGAGCAAGGAAUGGGUAGCCAAGAAGAUCUAUGAGCCUACAGGUCAGUACUUCACGCAACACCUUGUGAAACUCGUGUUGGAGAGAAGGGAGGAAAGAACACCGGAAGACAUACCACAUGUCCAGCGGCCUGCAAACAUUGCCACUAAGGAGAGACCCCCCAAGGAAGAUGUAAUCUGGAAACAUCAAUCCAGAUUCCCUCGCCACACUGAUGCUUGAAAAACCAAGGAUCCAGAUGGUAAAUUUGUUUAUGUCAGAAUCAGAAUCACUUUUAUUACACCUUAUUGUACAGUAGGCUACACAAGAGCAAAAUUAUUAGGCUUGGUUCCUCAACAUACACAUAGCUGCAAGUAAAAAAUAUAAAAUAAGUAUAAAAAUAAAUAAGUAGCAGCAUCAAUAAUAAUAAAGUAAUGAGGUGUAAUAAAGUGUGAAGUGUAGGGUGUUCAAGUGGUAGUGUUGUAAAUAUGUUUGUAAAUACAGUCGGCUUAUGUCUACCUUUACCCAUUAGGAAAACAUGUUUAGGCCUACAGACACUAGUGUGCACUUUCUAAAUAAAACUGCAAAGAUUUUUGAACAA